GAAGCGAACGCGGUGAACUGAAACAUCUAAGUAACCGCAGGAAAAGAAAUCAACCGAGAUUCCCAAAGUAGUGGCGAGCGAAAUGGGAUGAGCCUUGCACUCUUUAUUUGUAUUGUUAGCCGAACGCUCUGGAAAGUGCGGCCAUAGCAGGUGAUAGCCCUGUAGGCGAAAACAGUAUGAAAGAACUAGGUGUGCGACAAGUAGGGCGGGACACGUGAAAUCCUGUCUGAAGAUGGGGGGACCAUCCUCCAAGGCUAAAUACUCGUGAUCGACCGAUAGUGAACCAGUACCGUGAGGGAAAGGCGAAAAGAACCCCGGGAGGGGAGUGAAAUAGAUCCUGAAACCGCAUGCAUACAAACAGUCGGAGCCUCGUAAGGGGUGACGGCGUACCUUUUGUAUAAUGGGUCAGCGACUUACGUUCAGUAGCAAGCUUAACCGUAUAGGGCAGGCGUAGCGAAAGCGAGUCCGAAUAGGGCGUUCAGUUGCUGGGCGUAGACCCGAAACCAGGUGAUCUAUCCAUGGCCAGGAUGAAGGUGCGGUAACACGUACUGGAGGUCCGAACCCACUAACGUUGAAAAGUUAGGGGAUGAGCUGUGGAUAGGGGUGAAAGGCUAAACAAACCUGGAAAUAGCUGGUUCUCUCCGAAAACUAUUUAGGUAGUGCCUCGUGUCUCACCUUCGGGGGUAGAGCACUGUCAUGGUUGGGGGGUCUAUUGCAGAUUACCCCGCCAUAGCAAACUCCGAAUACCGAAGAGUGCAAUCACGGGAGACAGACAUCGGGUGCUAACGUCCGGUGUCAAGAGGGAAACAACCCAGACCGCCAGCUAAGGUCCCCAAAUAUAGCUAAGUGGGAAACGAAGUGGGAAGGCUAAAACAGUCAGGAGGUUGGCUUAGAAGCAGCCACCCUUUAAAGAAAGCGUAAUAGCUCACUGAUCGAGUCGUCCUGCGCGGAAGAUGUAACGGGGCUAAGCUAUAUACCGAAGCUGCGGAUGCGUGCUUGCACGCAUGGUAGGAGAGCGUUCCGUAAGCCUGCGAAGGUGCCUUGUAAAGGGUGCUGGAGGUAUCGGAAGUGCGAAUGCUGACAUGAGUAGCGAUAAAGGGGGUGAAAGGCCCCCUCGCCGUAAGCCCAAGGUUUCCUACGCAACGUUCAUCGGCGUAGGGUGAGUCGGCCCCUAAGGCGAGGCAGAAAUGCGUAGCUGAUGGGAAGCAGGUCAAUAUUCCUGCACCAUUGUUAGAUGCGAUGGGGGGACGGAUCGCGGAAGGUUGUCCGGGUGUUGGAAGUCCCGGUCGCUGCAUUGGAGAAGGCGCUUAGGCAAAUCCGGGCGCGUAAUUCAAGGGUGUGGUGCGAGCUCCUUCGGGAGCGAAGCAAUUGGAAGUGGUUCCAAGAAAAGCCUCUAAGCUUCAGUCUAACGAUGACCGUACCGCAAACCGACACAGGUGGGCGAGAUGAGUAUUCUAAGGCGCUUGAGAGAACUCGGGAGAAGGAACUCGGCAAAUUGGUACCGUAACUUCGGGAUAAGGUACGCCCUUGUAGCUUGACCAGCCUGCGCUGGAAGGGUGAAGGGGUUGCAAUAAACUGGUGGCUGCGACUGUUUAAUAAAAACACAGCACUCUGCAAACACGAAAGUGGACGUAUAGGGUGUGACGCCUGCCCGGUGCCGGAAGAUUAAAUGAUGGGGUGCAAGCUCUUGAUUGAAGUCCCGGUAAACGGCGGCCGUAACUAUAACGGUCCUAAGGUAGCGAAAUUCCUUGUCGGGUAAGUUCCGACCUGCACGAAUGGCGUAACGAUGGCCACACUGUCUCCUCCCGAGACUCAGCGAAGUUGAAGUGUUUGUGAUGAUGCAAUCUACCCGCGGCUAGACGGAAAGACCCCAUGAACCUUUACUGUAGCUUUGCAUUGGACUUUGAACCGAUCUGUGUAGGAUAGGUGGGAGGCUAUGAAACCGGAACGCUAGUUUCGGUGGAGCCGUCCUUGAAAUACCACCCUGGUUUGUUUGAGGUUCUAACCUUGGCCCGUGAUCCGGGUCGGGGACAGUGCAUGGUAGGCAGUUUGACUGGGGCGGUCUCCUCCCAAAGCGUAACGGAGGAGUACGAAGGUACGCUAGGUACGGUCGGAAAUCGUGCUGAUAGUGCAAUGGCAUAAGCGUGCUUAACUGCGAGACCGACAAGUCGAGCAGGUGCGAAAGCAGGUCAUAGUGAUCCGGUGGUUCUGUAUGGAAGGGCCAUCGCUCAACGGAUAAAAGGUACUCUGGGGAUAACAGGCUGAUACCGCCCAAGAGUUCAUAUCGACGGCGGUGUUUGGCACCUCGAUGUCGGCUCAUCUCAUCCUGGGGCUGUAGCCGGUCCCAAGGGUAUGGCUGUUCGCCAUUUAAAGAGGUACGUGAGCUGGGUUUAAAACGUCGUGAGACAGUUUGGUCCCUAUCUGCCGUGGGCGUUGGAUAUUUGAAGGGGGCUGCUCCUAGUACGAGAGGACCGGAGUGGACGAACCUCUGGUGUACCGGUUGUCACGCCAGUGGCAUCGCCGGGUAGCUAUGUUCGGAAGAGAUAACCGCUGAAAGCAUCUAAGCGGGAAACUCGCCUUAAGAUGAGAUAUCCCUGGGGACUAGAUCCCCUUGAAGGGUCGUUCGAGACCAGGACGUUGAUAGGUCAGGUGUGUAAGCGCAGUAAUGCGUUCAGCUAACUGAUACUAAUUGCCCGUAAGGCUUGAUCCUAUAACA
rnacentral:rRNA from 1 species